rnacentral:rRNA from 1 species
GAUGAACGCUGGCGGCGUGCUUAACACAUGCAAGUCGAACGGUGAAGCAGGAGCUUGCUCUUGUGGAUCAGUGGCGAACGGGUGAGUAACACGUGAGCAACCUGCCCCUGACUCUGGGAUAAGCGCUGGAAACGGCGUCUAAUACUGGAUAUGUGAUGUGACCGCAUGGUCUGCAUCUGGAAAGAAUUUCGGUUGGGGAUGGGCUCGCGGCCUAUCAGCUUGUUGGUGAGGUAAUGGCUCACCAAGGCGUCGACGGGUAGCCGGCCUGAGAGGGGAACCAGCCACACUGGAAAUGGAGCACGGCCCAGACUCCUACGGGAGGCAGCAGAGGAGAAUAUUGCACAAUGGGCGGAAGCCUGAUGCAGCAACGCCGCGUGAGGGAUGACGGGCUUCGGGUUGUUAACCUCUUUUAGCAGGGAAGAAGCGAAAGUGACGGUACCUGCAGAAAAAGCACCGGCUAACUACGUGCCAGCAGCCGCGGUAA